AGAGCGAACGCUGGCGGCAUGCUUAACACAUGCAAGUCGCACGGUCGGAGCAAUCCGGCAGUGGCGGACGGGUGAGUAACGCGUAGGUAUCUAUCCGAGGGUGGGGGAUAACGCCGGGAAACUGGUGCUAAUACCGCAUGAUGACUGAGGUCCAAAGGUCGCAAGACCGCCCAUGGAGGAGCCUGCGUCCGAUUAGCUUGUUGGUGGGGUAAUGGCCUACCAAGGCGAUGAUCGGUAGCUGGUCUGAGAGGAUGAUCAGCCACACUGGGACUGAGACACGGCCCAGACUCCUACGGAGGCAGCAGUGGGGAAUAUUGGACAAUGGGCGAAAGCCUGAUCCAGCAAUGCCGCGUGGAUGAAGAAGGUCUUCGGAUUGUAAAGUCCUUUCGGCGGGGACGAUGAUGACGGUACCCGCAGAAGAAGCCCGGCUAACUUCGUGCCAGCAGCCGC
rnacentral:rRNA from 1 species